rnacentral:rRNA from 1 species
GACGGAGGAUGCAAGUGUUAUCCGGAAUCACUGGGCGUAAAGGGCGCGUAGGCGGCUUUAUAAGUCGGGGGUGAAAGCCUGUGGCUCAACCACAGAAUUGCCUUCGAUACUGUAGAGCUUGAGACCGGAAGAGGUAAGUGGAACUGCGAGUGUAGAGGUGAAAUUCGUAGAUAUUCGCAAGAACACCAGUGGCGAAGGCGGCUUACUGGUCCGGUUCUGACGCUGAGGCGCGAAAGCGUGGGGAGCAAACAGG